rnacentral:rRNA from 1 species
GACGAACGCUGGCGGCGUGCUUAACACAUGCCAGUCGAACGGAAAGGCCCUGCUUUUGUGGGGUGCUCGAGUGGCGAACGGGUGAGUAACACGUGAGUAACCUGCCCUUGACUUUGGGAUAACUUCAGGAAAUUGGGGCUAAUACCGGAUAGGAGCUCCUGCUGCAUGGUGGGGGUUGGAAAGUUUCGGCGGUUGGGGAUGGACUCGCGGCUUAUCAGCUUGUUGGUGGGGUAGUGGCUUACCAAGGCUUUGACGGGUAGCCGGCCUGAGAGGGUGACCGGCCACAUUGGGACUGAGAUACGGCCCAGACUCCUACGGGAGGCAGCAGUGGGGAAUAUUGCACAAUGGGCGGAAGCCUGAUGCAGCAACGCCGCGUGCGGGAUGACGGCCUUCGGGUUGUAAACCGCUUUCGCCUGUGACGAAGCGUGAGUGACGGUAAUGGGUAAAGAAGCACCGGCUAACUACGU